rnacentral:rRNA from 1 species
UACGUAGGCAGCGAGCGUUGUUCGGAGUUACUGGGCGUAAAGGGUGUGUAGGCGGUCCCUUAAGUUUGGUGUGAAAUCUCCCGGCUCAACUGGGAGGGUGCGCCGGAUAACUGAGGGGCUAGGAGUGCGGGAAGGGAAAGUGGAAUUCCUGGUGUAGCGGUGAAAUGCGUAGAUAUCAGGAGGAACACCGGUGGUGCAAACGGCUUCUGGACCGUAACUGACGCUGGAGAACACGGAAAGCGUGGGGAGCAAACAG